UGGUGAGCGGCGAACGGGUGAGUAACACGUAGGUGAUCUGCCCAUCAGACGGGGACAACGAUUGGAAACGAUCGCUAAUACCGGAUAGGACGAAAGUUUAAAGGUGCUUCUGGCACCGCUGAUGGAUGAGCCUGCGGCGCAUUAGCUAGUGGGUAGGGUAAAGGCCUACCAAGGCGACGAUGCGUAGCCGACCUGAGAGGGUGAACGGCCACACUGGGACUGAGACACGGCCCAGACUCCUACGGGAGGCAGCAGUAGGGAAUCUUCGGCAAUGGGCGAAAGCCUGACCGAGCAACGCCGCGUGAAUGAUGAAGGCCUUCGGGUUGUAAAAUUCUGUUAUAAGGGAAGAACGACUUUAGUAGGAAAUGGCUAGAGUGUGACGGUACCUUAUGAGAAAGCCACGGCUAACUACGUGCCAGCAGCCGCGGUAAUACGUAGGUGGCGAGCGUUAUCCGGAAUUAUUGGGCGUAAAGAGCGCGCAGGUGGUUGAUUAAGUCUGAUGCGAAAGCCCACGGCUUAACCGUGGAGGGUCAUUGGAAACUGGUCGACUUGAGUGCAGAAGAGGGAAGUGGAAUUCCAUGUGUAGCGGUGAAAUGCGUAGAGAUAUGGAGGAACACCAGUGGCGAAGGCGGCUUCCUGGUCUGUAACUGACACUGA
rnacentral:rRNA from 1 species